rnacentral:rRNA from 1 species
UACGUAGGGACCGAGCGUUGUCCGGAAUCAUUGGGCGUAAAGAGCGUGUAGGCGGCCUUUUAAGUCCUGCGUGAAAUCCUGCGGCUCAACCGCAGACGGUCGUGGGAAACUGGAAGGCUAGAGUGCGGGAGAGGAGAGUGGAAUUCCCGUGUAGCGGUGAAAUGCGCAGAUAUCGGGAAGAACACCCGUGGCGAAGGCGGCUCUCUGGAACGCAACUGACGCUGAGACGCGAAAGCGUGGGGAGCAACAGG